rnacentral:rRNA from 1 species
UUUAAGGUCUAAUCUGCCCAAUGAGUAGUUAAAUGGCCGCGGUACUUUGACCGUGCAAAGGUAGCAUAAUAAUUAGUUUUUUAAUUGAAAGCUGGAAUGAAUGAUUGGACGAGAAAAUUUCUGUCUCAAGUUAAUUUAUAUUAGAAUUUUAUUUUUAAGUAAAAAAGCUUAAAUUUUUUUAAAAGACGAGAAGACCCUAUAGAGUUUUAUAAUAAGGUAAUUAUAAAUUUUUUAGUAUUUUUAUAUUUAUAGUUUUUUUAUUAUUUUGUUGGGGUGAUAGAAAAAUUAAAUAAACUUUUUUUUUUAUUUUACAUUGAUUUAUGAAUAUAUGAUCCAUUAUUAAUGAUUAUAAGAUUAAAUUACCUUAGGGAUAACAGCGUAAUUUUUUUUUAGAGUUCUUAUCGAAAAGGGGGAUUGCGACCUCGAUGUUGGAUUAAAAUAAAUUCUUGGUGUAAAAGCUAAAAUAUUAAGUCUGUUCGACUUUUUAAAUUUUACA